AUUGAACGCUGGCGGCAUGCCUUACACAUGCAAGUCGAACGGUAACAGGUCUUCGGAUGCUGACGAGUGGCGAACGGGUGAGUAAUACAUCGGAAUGUGCCUAGUAGUGGGGGAUAACUACUCGAAAGAGUGGCUAAUACCGCAUGAGAUCUACGGAUGAAAGCAGGGGAUCCCAAGACCUUGUGCUACUAGAGCGGCCGAUGGCAGAUUAGGUAGUUGGGGGGAUAAGAGCUUACCAAGCCGACGAUCUGUAGCUGGUCUGAGAGGACGAUCAGCCACACUGGGACUGAGACACGGCCCAGACUCCUACGGGAGGCAGCAGUGGGGAAUUUCGGACAAUGGGCGCAAGCCUGAUCCAGCAAUGCCGCGUGCAGGAUGAAGGCCUUCGGGUUGUAAACUGCUUUUGUACGGAACGAAAAGCCCUGGUUAAUACCCUGGGGUCAUGACGGUACCGUAAGAAUAAGCACCGGCUAACUACGUGCCAGCCGCCGCGGUAAUAC
rnacentral:rRNA from 1 species